rnacentral:rRNA from 1 species
GAAGCUGGAUUCGCUAGUAAUCGCGCAUCAGCCACGGCGCGGUGAAUACGUUCCCGGGCCUUGUACACACCGCCCGUCAAGCCAUGGGAGGCUGGGGGUACCUGAAGUGCGUGACCGCAAGGAGCGCCCUAAGGUAAAACCGGUGACUGGGGCUAAGUCGUAACAAGGUAAC